rnacentral:lncRNA from 1 species
UGUCAAGGAGCUGUCAAGGACAUCAAUAUAUAUAAUAAAUAAAUAUUAAUUUGAACCGCAAAACCUAGACUUAUGCCGCAAAUUGCUGCAGGAAAGCUCAGCAAUGAGAACACAAAAGUGAAAUGUAAAUAAAUAAAUCACCAAGAACAAGCUGCGCCACGAUGCACGGCGCAGCGCGGCGGCGCCUCCGGUGGCGUCCUGAUGCGUCACCAGUGACACCAGGUGUCAAAAAUGACUCUCAGUUUUUCUGUGUUUUAUUAAUUUAUGUUUAUUUCUAAUUUAAUAGA